UAGGGAAUCUUCCGCAAUGGACGCAAGUCUGACGGAGCAACGCCGCGUGAGUGAAGAAGGAUUUCGGUUCGUAAAACUCUGUUGUUAGAGAAGAACAGCGCAUAGAGUAACUGUUAUGCGUGUGACGGUAUCUAACCAGAAAGCCACGGCUAACUACGUGCCAGCAGCCGCGGUAAUACGUAGGUCCCGAGCGUUGUCCGGAUUUAUUGGGCGUAAAGCGAGCGCAGGCGGUUAGAAAAGUCUGAAGUGAAAGGCAGUGGCUCAACCAUUGUAGGCUUUGGAAACUGUUUAACUUGAGUGCAGAAGGGGAGAGUGGAAUUCCAUGUGUAGCGGUGAAAUGCGUAGAUAUAUGGAGGAACACCAGUGGCGAAGGCGACUCUCUGGUCUGUAACUGACGCUGAGGCUCGAAAGCGUGGGUAGCAAACAGG
rnacentral:rRNA from 1 species